GAUCAGUCAAGACAAGGUCUAGUUCUCUACAAUUGGUCCCCCUUCAUGAUCAGCAGAAACUGUGGGCAGCUAACUUGUGAAUCAGUAACCCUUGGUGGUGAAAGUGAAGGCACAGAUAAUGUCAUACAAGUGGACAGGCUGUAGAGGCAAAACCUUAGUAUUAUGCUUACUGGUCUAUUCUCUCAUUUACAAAGUGGAACUCAAAGUAUCAUUCAAAUACAAUGUGAUAUUCAGAUGGCCAUGAAUCUACCGGAUUACAAGAAAAUCACAGGCGUUUUGGUUUCACAAUAGCAGGAAAUCAAGGGAGAGGAACCAUGCACUCGGGUACAAAUUGGGGCAGGGUGUCUCUAACUGGGGGGGGUGGAGAGGAGGAACGUGUCCCUGAGACUAGAGAGGGUCACUCUGGAAGACAGGGGAGAGUAUGUGUCCCAUGUCAGCAGCGAACAUUGGUAUGAAAAGGCCAAAGUGUCCCUCACUGAUUGGUAAGGAGCAGAGGACUAUGUUUAUUCAAUUGAUGAACCUGUAAACAAACAUAACAUGUGAUGUAAACUUGUUUAGGGAGAGAUACUGUGCUUUUGGGUUGAAUCUAGUUCCGAAUCUAACUAGUAUUACUCAUUUUGUUGAAUUUAUGAACAAUUCUUGAAAAUAGAACAAACUUUUCUAACAGUGCUAUCUAUUUUUGGGGUUGAACUCUCUAUAUUUCCAAUAGUACUAGGUGGUAUCCCAGUUGUCUCUAUUGCUGAAGCAAGAGGAAGUGAAGGUCAGGUGAACGUUACCUGUUGAUCAGUGGGCUGGUCACCACAACCUACAGUCACCUGGAGAAACAAAGAGGGGAAAGAGAUCAGAAAUGGACAAGAUGUUCUCUACACAUCUGAUUCUCAGGGCUUGGUGAGUGUAAGUAGUUGGCUGCUGUAUUCUCUCUCAGACUCAGAUUGGCUCUCCUGUACAGUCUCUCUGUCUGAGGAGAAGAAGAGCGAGAGCAGAAUCCUGCCACAGAUAUGCCAGCCUGAGGCAGGACACAUUCAUGAGAAACAAGCUGUUGAAGAAGGAAUUAAUCUAAAAGAUUGGCUCCAGGUGAAAGGAUUCAAAAAGAACGUCACUAUGGAUGCCCAGACUGCUCACCUUGCUUUUAAUGUGAGUGAUGAAGGAAAAAAGGCUCAGUACAGCACAGCAGAAGCUAACAAUUCCUCAAACAAGCAUCCCCAUGUGUUGGGUAAAGAGCGUUUAAUCUCUGGACAGCACUACUGGGAAGUGAAGAUGGGGGAUAAUUGUACAGAAAAGCUGUCAUGGUAUAUCGGUGUGGCCAGAGAAAAUGCUCAGAGAAAAUCUACCAUUCCUUUAACUCCCCAGUAUGGGUUUCUGGAUUUUAUUUUAUGAAAAAGGAAGAGGUUAACAUGUAAAAACAACUAACCCGCCAAAACAAAUAACUGUGGCAGAAUAUCUUUCUAUAGUAGGAGUGUUUCUAGACAGUGACAGACAAACUUUGUCUUUUUAUAAUGUUGAGACAAAGUCACAUCACUACACGUUUAGUGAUGUGGUAUCAAACUGCUUUCUCCCUGUGUUCAGCCCUGGAAAAAGUGAUAAACAUGUUAUGAUAAUAUGUUGAAUAAAUACUAAGACAUGAAGGUUAAAACACGACAAAUGAGGCAUACUGUAGACAAUGUAUUUUAAAUUAGGCCAACACUACAACUACGGUAUGUUUAAUAUGAGGCAGCUGUAGGAACACAUGGCUAGGGUAUCAUUUUGACUGAAAUGUUAUUCAGGGAUGCACAGUUCAACACAC